rnacentral:rRNA from 1 species
UACGUAGGCAGCAAGCGUUGUUCGGAGUUACUGGGCGUAAAGGGUGUGUAGGCGGUUGUUUAAGUUUGGUGUGAAAUCUCCCGGCUCAACUGGGAGGGUGCGCCGAAUACUGAAUGACUUGGAGUGCGGGAGAGGAGAGUGGAAUUCCUGGUGUAGCGGUGAAAUGCGUGGAUAUCAGGAGGAACACCGGUGGUGUAGACGGCUCUCUGGACCGUAACUGACGCCGAGACACGAAAGCGUGGGUAGCAAACAGG